UUGCAGGGGGAAGAGAGGGAGGAAAGUAGAUCUGUAGGAAUUGAGUGAAGAAAAGUUUGCAAGUCUGGACAGAAGGGAAAAGUUCUCCUGAGAGACCGGCUUUGGGGAGGGGAGAGGGGGAAGGAAGAGUAGCUCCUUCUUCUUCUUCUUCUUUUUUUUUUCUUCCACUCUUAAAAAGCUUCUUUCUCUUCACCCAAGCCUCACUGUCCCUCUCCGGCUCUAGCUCUCUCCAUAUAAACCCUCAAGAUUAUGUCAAUUGGUUAGAGCCAGCCGGGACUUUCGUGCGGGUGCUGAAGGAGCUGCGGGAGCUGGAGAAGAAUGAAACUGCGUGGAGUCAGCCUGGCUGCCGGCUUGUUCUUACUGGCCCUGAGUCUUUGGGGGCAGCCUGCAGAGGCUGCGGCUUGCUAUGGGUGUUCUCCAGGAUCAAAGUGUGACUGCAGUGGCAUAAAAGGGGAAAAGGGAGAGACAGGGUUUCCAGGUUUGGAAGGACAUCGAGGAUUGCCUGGAUUUCCAGGUCCAGAAGGGCCUCCAGGGCCUCGGGGACAAAAGGGUGAUGAUGGAAUUCCAGGGCCACCAGGACCAAAAGGAAUCAGAGGUCCUCCUGGGCUUCCUGGAUUUCCAGGGACACCAGGUCUUCCUGGAAUGCCAGGCCAUGAUGGGGCCCCAGGACCUCAAGGUAUUCCCGGAUGCAAUGGAACCAAGGGAGAACGUGGAUUUCCAGGCAGUCCCGGUUUUCCUGGUUUACAGGGUCCUCCAGGACCCCCUGGUAUCCCAGGUAUGAAGGGUGAACCAGGUAGUAUAAUUAUGUCAUCACUGCCAGGACCAAAGGGUAAUCCAGGAUAUCCAGGUCCUCCUGGAAUACAAGGCCUACCUGGUCCCACUGGUAUACCAGGGCCAAUUGGUCCCCCAGGACCACCAGGUUUGAUGGGCCCUCCUGGUCCACCAGGACUUCCAGGACCUAAGGGGAAUAUGGGCUUAAAUUUCCAGGGACCCAAAGGUGAAAAAGGUGAGCAAGGUCUUCAGGGCCCACCUGGGCCACCUGGGCAGAUCAGUGAACAGAAAAGACCAAUUGAUGUAGAGUUUCAGAAAGGAGAUCAGGGACUUCCUGGUGACCGAGGGCCUCCUGGACCUCCAGGGAUACGUGGUCCUCCAGGUCCCCCAGGUGGUGAGAAAGGUGAGAAGGGUGAUCAAGGAGAGCCAGGCAAAAGAGGUAAACCAGGCAAAGAUGGAGAAAAUGGCCAACCAGGAAUUCCUGGUUUGCCUGGUGAUCCUGGUUACCCUGGUGAACCUGGAAGGGAUGGUGAAAAGGGCCAAAAAGGUGACACUGGCCCACCUGGACCUCCUGGACUUGUAAUUCCUAGACCUGGGACUGGUAUAACUAUAGGAGAAAAGGGAAACAUUGGGUUGCCUGGCUUGCCUGGAGAAAAAGGAGAGCGAGGAUUUCCUGGAAUACAGGGUCCACCUGGCCUUCCUGGACCUCCAGGGGCUGCAGUUAUGGGUCCUCCUGGCCCUCCUGGAUUUCCUGGAGAAAGGGGUCAGAAAGGUGAUGAAGGACCACCUGGAAUUUCCAUUCCUGGACCUCCUGGACUUGAUGGACAGCCUGGGGCUCCUGGGCUUCCAGGGCCUCCUGGCCCUCCUGGCCCUCACAUCCCUCCUAGUGAUGAGAUAUGUGAACCAGGCCCUCCAGGCCCCCCAGGAUCUCCAGGUGAUAAAGGACUCCAAGGAGAACAAGGAGUGAAAGGUGACAAAGGUGACACUUGCUUCAACUGCAUUGGAACUGGUAUUUCAGGGCCUCCAGGUCAACCUGGUUUGCCAGGUCUCCCAGGUCCUCCAGGAUCUCUUGGUUUCCCUGGACAGAAAGGUGAAAAAGGACAAGCUGGUGCAACUGGUCCCAAAGGAUUACCAGGCAUUCCAGGAGCUCCAGGUGCUCCAGGCUUUCCUGGAUCUAAAGGUGAACCUGGUGAUAUCCUCACUUUUCCAGGAAUGAAGGGUGACAAAGGAGAGUUGGGUUCCCCUGGAGCUCCAGGGCUUCCUGGUUUACCUGGUACUCCUGGACAGGAUGGAUUGCCAGGGCUUCCUGGCCCGAAAGGAGAGCCUGGUGGAAUUACUUUUAAGGGUGAAAGAGGUCCCCCUGGGAACCCAGGUUUACCAGGCCUCCCAGGGAAUAUAGGGCCUAUGGGUCCCCCUGGUUUCGGCCCUCCAGGCCCAGUAGGUGAAAAAGGCAUACAAGGUGUGGCAGGAAAUCCAGGCCAGCCAGGAAUACCAGGUCCUAAAGGGGAUCCAGGUCAGACUAUAACCCAGCCAGGGAAGCCUGGCUUGCCUGGUAACCCAGGCAGAGAUGGUGAAGUAGGUCUUCCAGGUGACCCUGGACUCCCAGGGCAACCAGGCUUGCCAGGGAUACCUGGUAGCAAAGGAGAACCAGGUAUCCCUGGAAUUGGGCUUCCUGGACCACCUGGUCCCAAAGGCUUUCCUGGAAUUCCAGGACCUCCAGGAGCACCUGGGACACCUGGAAGAAUUGGUCUAGAAGGCCCUCCUGGGCCACCCGGCUUUCCAGGACCAAAGGGUGAACCAGGAUUUGCAUUACCUGGGCCACCUGGGCCACCAGGACUUCCAGGUUUCAAAGGAACACUUGGUCCAAAAGGUGAUCGUGGUUUCCCAGGACCUCCAGGUCCUCCAGGACGCACUGGCUUAGAUGGGCUCCCUGGACCAAAAGGUGAUGUUGGACCAAAUGGACAACCUGGACCAAUGGGACCUCCUGGGCUGCCAGGAAUAGGUGUUCAGGGACCACCAGGACCACCAGGGAUUCCUGGGCCAAUAGGUCAACCUGGUUUACAUGGAAUACCAGGAGAGAAGGGGGAUCCAGGACCUCCUGGACUUGAUGUUCCAGGUCCCCCAGGUGAAAGAGGCAGUCCAGGGAUCCCCGGAGCACCUGGUCCUAUAGGACCUCCAGGAUCACCAGGGCUUCCAGGAAAAGCAGGUGCCUCUGGAUUUCCAGGUACCAAAGGUGAAAUGGGUAUGAUGGGACCUCCAGGCCCACCAGGACCUUUGGGAAUUCCUGGCAGGAGUGGUGUACCUGGUCUUAAAGGUGAUGAUGGCUUGCAGGGUCAGCCAGGACUUCCUGGCCCUGCAGGAGAAAAAGGUAGUAAAGGAGAGCCUGGCCUUCCAGGCCCUCCUGGACCAAUGGAUCCAAAUCUUCUGGGCUCAAAAGGAGAGAAGGGGGAACCUGGCUUACCAGGUAUACCUGGAGUUUCAGGGCCGAAAGGUUAUCAGGGUUUGCCUGGAGACCCAGGGCAACCUGGACUGAGUGGACAACCUGGAUUACCAGGACCACCAGGUCCCAAAGGUAACCCUGGUCUCCCUGGACAGCCAGGUCUUACAGGACCUCCUGGACUUAAAGGAGCCAUCGGUGAUAUGGGUUUUCCAGGGCCUCAGGGUGUGGAAGGGCCUCCUGGACCUUCUGGAGUUCCUGGACAACCUGGCUCCCCAGGAUUACCUGGACAGAAAGGCGACAAAGGUGAUCCUGGUAUUUCAAGCAUUGGUCUUCCAGGUCUUCCUGGUCCAAAGGGUGAGCCUGGUCUGCCUGGAUACCCAGGGAACCCUGGUAUCAAAGGUUCUGUGGGAGAUCCUGGUUUGCCCGGAUUACCAGGAACCCCUGGAGCAAAAGGACAACCAGGCCUUCCUGGAUUCCCAGGAACCCCAGGCCCUCCUGGACCAAAAGGUAUUAGUGGCCCUCCUGGGAACCCUGGCCUUCCAGGAGAACCUGGUCCUGUAGGUGGUGGGGGUCGUCCUGGGCAACCAGGGCCUCCAGGCGAAAAAGGCAAACCUGGUCAAGAUGGUAUUCCUGGACCAGCUGGACAGAAGGGUGAACCAGGUCAACCAGGCUUUGGAAACCCAGGACCCCCUGGACUUCCAGGACUUUCUGGCCAAAAGGGUGAUGGAGGAUUACCUGGGAUUCCAGGAAAUCCUGGCCUUCCAGGUCCAAAGGGCGAACCAGGCUUUCACGGUUUCCCUGGUGUGCAGGGUCCCCCGGGCCCUCCUGGUUCUCCGGGUCCAGCUCUGGAAGGACCUAAAGGCAACCCUGGGCCCCAAGGUCCUCCUGGGAGACCAGGGAGCAGACUGUUGGCUGCAUCCACUUUCUUGUUUUCUGUUACCUCAAAAGCUCCGUCAACACCUCCAUCAACCAGAUUGCUUCUUGUGUUCUUCUUAAAUGAUGUCAACGAAAAGAGUAAGACAGUGCAUACUAUUUAACUAUCACUAAGAUAAAGCAAAGACUAAGGGGUUACUUUGAAGUAAUGUUGAGUCCCACCUUAUCUGACCUACAUAGAAUUUUGCCGCUUUGAUUACUGCUAAACUCUACUGUUAGCUAGGAGAUUUCUAUCUCCUGAGUUACUAUAAUAUAUUCAAAGAAGAAAAAGAAAAGUAGCCACAUUCCUUUAAAAGAAAUUUAACAAUUUCUUAUUUACCAAAUGUACUCUAAAUUGCAUAGUUGUUGGAACUUGGUCUCUGUGAUGUUUUCUUCUUUGCAAGACUACAACCUUAAGUGGAAACUGAAUUUAAGAUAUACCAGUCAAUUCAUCAGUAUACCUUUAGUAAUUACUACUUAUGGACAAUAUUUUAGGUUUUUGUUUUGUUUCCUUUUUCAGUUUAACUUUGGUACAUAGUUGAAAAAUAAUGGAUUGUGAGCCUCAUACAAAAAAAAUUGACUUGGCAUAUAGCUCAUUAAAAUGUUACCUUUUAAAAUAGUGUCUUAGAAGUUUUGCUAUGAUAUGAUCCACAGUUUUCCUUGCUAAUUACUCAGGCUGAAAUGUCAUAUUUCAAUGAAAUAUUUUUCUGAGAGUUCUUGUUAUUGGUCCCUCUAUAUCAAACACACAUAUAAAAUGUCUUUACUCAAACCCUGAAUUGUCUUAGGUGGGAAUUCUAAUUUAUUUAACUAAUUUUGUGGCCAGACUCUGCUCUAAGUAUUGAGUUAAUUUGCUGUCUGUGAUUUAGAAACAAUUUAAACAAACAGAAGCCAAUAUUUAGCUUUCUGAAUUUCAAAGUAUCAAAUGCUUUGAAAGUUUUAUUAGGAGAUAAUGAUAAUGUUUUCUAUUUAUAUGACAUGCCACAAUUUACAUCAUAUAAUGUACUUUUAUUGUAAGCGUCUUAAGGGCAGAGUUUGAGUCUUGCUCAUCUUUGUGUUUCCUGUAGCACCUUGCACAUGGCAGACAUUAGGCCAGUAUUUUAAAACUUGAAUUUGAUCUUUAAAAUAUUCCUAUGAGGGAGGCUAGGGCAGAUACCACUAUUCCCAUUAUACGGGUAAAAAACCAUACUCAGAAAGAUUGAAUUGCCCAAAGUCCUAUAGUUAUUAAGUAGCAGAGUCAAAAAUAGAUCCUAGGUCUUCUAACUCCUAGGAUUCAUUGCUCUAGCACAAUUUAUUCUCUCCGCUAACAUUUGGUGCUUAUAAAUCAUAGCAAGACUUGUAAGAAAAGAAAAUUGUGUUUAUAGUCAAUUAACACUAACCAAGGGUGCUCUAUUUGUAGGCUUUUAAUCUUUUUAUUUAAUGAUCCUUCUUUUAAUAGUGAAUAGCCUGUCUUAAUAUGUGCAUUGAAUAAUAAUAGAGUAAAUAUGAUAUUUUCUGUGGUUUGGGGUGGGAUAUUGCAUGCCAAAACAUUUUCAAGUACCCUUUCACUGAUAGUCUUCAUAUCUUGAAAAAGUUGAAUCUUUAUUUUUGUGUUCAGUGGUGUACAAAUAUAUAUUGGCUUUUUCUCCUUAAGUAACUUAUUGCAAGUACUAUAAUAAUAAUAUAAUAAUAAUAAUAAUAGGCCAGGCAUGGUGGCUCACGCCUGUAAUCCCAGCACUUUGGGAGGCCGAGGUGGGUGGAUCACCUGAGGUCAGGAAUUCAAGACCAGCCUGGCCAACAUGGUAAGACCCCGUUUCUACUAAAAAUACGAAAAUUAGCUGGGUGUGGUGCUGGGUGCCUGUAAUCACAGCUGCUCGGGAGGCUGAGCCAGGAGAAUCUCUAGAACCCAGAAGGUGGAGGUUGCAGUGAGCUGAGAUCACACCAUUGCACUCCAGCCUGGGCGACAGAGUGAGACUCUGUCCAAAUAAUAAUAAUAAUAAUAAUUCAAUAAAUAGUAAUAGGAAAGCCUCCUGGUGAAUUAUGAAAAAAAUCAGAAUGUGGCUUCAUGAAAUGCUUUUCAAAUACAAACAAAAGUACAGUUGGUAAUGGCCAUGGUAUAUUCAUGAUUUGAUUUUUCUAUUCCGUCACCCAUGAUCUUUAUAUUUAUUGCCAAUGAGGCCUUCAAAGUCAACUGUAUCUUCUUGAAGUAGUCUGAGCAUAUCAAGAAAUUGGCACCUGGUGUUUUUAUUAAAAGAUAACACAAGCCAAGGUAAACUUCAACAUCAAUCCAAAAAUACCCCUUUGCUAAAGGAAUUUGAAGGCUGUUGGUGAAAUGGUACUCUCUAGCCAACUUUAAUGUUUUGAAAAGCUAAUUUUUGGAAAGCCACAGUAGCAGUGUUAACAUGAUGUCUUCAGUAGAGUUUUCUAUUUUCUGGAUUAAUGAAGACCAACAGCUUAUCCUUUAGAAUAAGCUCUAUUUGAAAAAGUUUGGCUCUCUAUACUUCUGUAUGGUUCUGUUUGCAUACUGUUUAUGCUGCAAGUAUAAGAAAUGCUGGCAAAGAACAUUAUUGUUUUAACUUGUACUAUAAUGUGAACCACUUCUAACUCAUAAUCUUAUUUUGUACUGUGUGAUGUCUGAUACUGCUAACAUCGAUCUUUGGGCUUUGGUGAACUCUGAUCUUCCCAGGUUUUCAAGGUCUACCAGGUCCAGAAGGUUCUCCGGGUCUCCCUGGAAAUGGAGCUAUUAAAGGAGAGAAGGGAAAUCCAGGCCAACCUGGGCUAC